GACCUUCAAAGGUCGUGCACGCCCGAGCGCUCUCUCACACAUCCAUCUCACCCUUUGUGCAUCACCGCGCGGGUCCUUCUCACGGAGGGCUCGCGUCAUUCACAUAAAACUCGAUACAGUAUAGAAUGUUUUCUUUUUUGUUUGCAGUCACAUGCAAUCAAUACAACUUUCAACAACGGAUCUCUUGGCUCUCGCAUCGAUGAAGAACGCAGCGAAAUGCGAUACGUAAUGUGAAUUGCAGAAUUCAGUGAAUCAUCGAAUCUUUGAACGCACCUUGCGCCCCUUGGCAUUCCGAGGGGCACACCCGUUUGAGUGUCGUGAAAUCAUCAAAACCCUUUUCUUUUGGAAAGGGAUUUUGGACUUGGAGGUUUGAUGCUUGCUUUCACUUUUGAAAGCGAGCUCCUCUCAAAUAAAUCAGUGGGGUUUGCUUUGCCGAUCCUCGACGUGAUAAGAUGUUUCUACGUUUUGGACUUGGCACUGUGCCCGCUUCUAACCGUCCCACGGACAAACGAUGGUGCUCCGGUCACCGCCAUUCACAUCGGCGGGAGGCUGGACCCACAAAAAAAAAACCUUGACCUCAAAUCGGGUGAGACUACCCGCUGAACUUAAGCAUAUCAAU
rnacentral:rRNA from 1 species